rnacentral:tRNA from 1 species
CUGGGGUGUAGCCAAGUGGUAAGGCGUCAGAAUUUGGAUCCGCUAUUCAAAGGUUCGAAUCCUUUCAGCCCAGA